GUAGUGACAGGCGGCGAAAGUCGCUUUUCCCGCAAGGGACACUAGUCGAGGUGCUGCAUGGCUGUCGUCAGCUCGUGUCGUGAGAUGUUGGGUUAAGUCCCGCAACGAGCGCAACCCUGCCUUUAGUUGCCACCAGAUUAUGCUGAGCACUCUAAAGGGACUGCCGGUGAAAAACCGGAGGAAGGUGGGGAUGACGUCAAGUCCUCAUGGCCUUUAUGUCCAGGGCUACACACGUACUACAAUGGGCGGCACAAUGAGUCGCAAACCCGCGAGGGGGAGCCAAUCUCAAAAAACCGCUCUCAGUUCGGAUUGCAGUCUGCAACUCGACUGCAUGAAGCCGGAAUCGCUAGUAAUCGCUGAUCAGCAAGCAGCGGUGAAUACGUUCCCGGGCCUUGUACACACCGCCCGUCACAUCACGAAAGCCAGUUGUACUAGAAGCCGGUAAUUCAACCGCAAGGAGAUAGCCGUCCAAGGUAUGACUGGUGAUUGGGGUGAAGUCGUAACAAGGUAGGCGUAGUGCU
rnacentral:rRNA from 1 species